rnacentral:lncRNA from 1 species
GUUUUUCUGGAUCACAAAAUCCUUGAGUUAAAAGAGUUAUUCACAUUUAUAGUUUAAACACAAACUCUCCUUAAACAACCAAUCUCACUCAUUCACAACUUUCCCUUUUCUUUGCAUUGAGCUUUUCUUCUCAUUUUAUCUUUUUUCUCUUUUUUUUUUUCUUUUUUAUCUUUUUCAUCUUUUCAUGUUUUGCUCAACACAUUAGCUCAAUGCUUAUCUUUUUCUUUUUCAACUUUCCCAACAGCCCCAAACUUGAACCUAUAUCAAUACAACACAAUAAUUCUCAACUUAACUCAAGGUAAAGAUUUGU